rnacentral:rRNA from 1 species
GGUUAACUUUGUAGUUUUACUGCUUUAUAGGCUGUGCUUUUGCGGGAGGUUUAGGGGUGCUCUUGAUCGAGUGUCUCUGGAUGCCAGCAGGUUUACUUUGAAAAAAUUAGAGUGCUCAAAGCAGGCUAAAAUGCCUGAAUAUUCGUGCAUGGAAUAAUAGAAUAGGAUGUCGAUCCUAUUUUGUUGGUUUUCGGGACUCGACAUAAUGAUAAAUAGGGACAGUCGGGGGCAUUUGUAUUCAAACGACAGAGGUGAAAUUCUUGGACCGUUUGAAGACAAACUACUGCGAAAGCAUUUGCC